rnacentral:lncRNA from 1 species
GUGUCUGCAAGGCUGUGGGGCAAGGCUUGCUGGAUACUAGCAAAGUCUCUGGAGCCAAAGAAGGUGUUUAUGCCCAAGAUGAAACUGAGUUCUACUUAGAGAAGAGAUGUGCUUAUGUGGAUAAAGAGAAAAAUCAAUAUAGUGACUCCUGGAGGCAAAACCAGCCUGACCCCAGGAAGAGUAACUCGGGCCCCUGGAAACAGUGGCAUGGCUAGAGCCAAAUUCCAAAGCAACCUCCCUACAAAGGCCAUUGGACACAGAGGCUGUGUGAUGAUGCACUGCCCUUCCCAGGUUUAA